CAUUUUAAGUAUAGCAAUUAUACCGUGAAACUGCGAAUGGCUCAUUAAAUCAGUUAUCGUUUAUUUGAUAGUACCUUACUACUUGGAUACCCGUGGUAAUUCUAGAGCUAAUACAUGCAAAAAACCCCGACUUCUGAAGGGGUGUAUUUAUUAGAUAAAAAACCAAUGCCCUUCGGGGCUCUUUGGUGAUUCAUAAUAACUUAACGGAUCGCAUGGCCUUGCGCUGGCGACGGUUCAUUCAAAUUUCUGCCCUAUCAACUUUCGAUGGUAAGGUAUUGGCUUACCAUGGUUUCAACGGGUAACGGGUUUUUAGGGAAAGACUCCGGAGAGGCAGCCUGAGAAACGGCUACCACAUCCAAGGAAGGCAGCAGGCGCGCAAAUUACCCAAUCCUGAUACAGGGAGGUAGUGACAAUAAAUACUGAUACAGGGCUCUUUUGGGUCUUGUAAUCGGAAUGAGUACAAUUUAAAUACCUUAACGAGGAACAAUUGGAGGGCAAGUCUGGUGCCAGCAGCCGCGGUAAUUCCAGCUCCAAUAGCGUAUAUUAAAGUUGUUGCAGUUAAAAAGCUCGUAGUUGAACCUUGGGCCUGGCUGAUCGGUCCGCCUCACCGCGUGUACUGGUUCGGCUGGGCCUUUCCUUCUGGAGAACCGCAUGCCCUUCACUGGGUGUGUCGGGGAACCAGGACUUUUACUUUGAGAAAAUUAGAGUGUUCAAAGCAGGCCUUUGCUCGAAUACGUUAGCAUGGAAUAAUAGAAUAGGACGUGCGGUCCUAUUUUGUUGGUUUCUAGAACCGCCGUAAUGAUUAAUAGGGAUAGUCGGGGGGCGUCAGUAUUCAAUUGUCAGAGGUGAAAUUCUUGGAUCUAUUGAAGACUAACUACUGCGAAAGCAUUCGCCAAGGAUGUUUUCAUUAAUCAGUGAACGAAAGUUAGGGGAUCGAAGACGAUCAGAUACCGUCGUAGUCUUAACCGUAAACUAUGCCGACUAGGGAUCGGGCGAUGUUUCUUUCUUGACUCGCUCGGCACCUUACGAGAAAUCAUAAGUUUUUGGGUUCUGGGGGGAGUAUGGUCGCAAGGCUGAAACUUAAAGAAAUUGA
rnacentral:rRNA from 1 species